UUCUUUUUCCUUCUUGUUUCCAUCUUUAGUUAAUAUUUAAGCAUUGACAUAUGUGGGUACCGAGUGUAAAUUUAAUUUCGACACACUUUAGAUUAAUGAAACAUUUUUGUACUUUUCUCUUAAAGAUUUAUUAUAGGACACUUGAUAUUUUAACAUAUCGUAUAAAUAAUAUAAAACUCAUUGUUUAUUGGAUGUGAAGCCCAAUAAUGCGCUUUAACUGACCUUGAAUUAUUCGUUCUUUGAAGACACUCAAAUUGGAUGCGCGUUUAGCACAUACCCUGACCUCAAUACGCGCCCAUAUGCUGUAAUCUAGGAUUAGGCAAGGAUGUUAAGAUGCCGUUUCUUUCGAUGUGCAGUUGAUCGGGGUACAUUUCAUACCUUCCAAAUUUGUCACAUUUUGUCCAGCAUGAUUAGGAUCUGAUUGUGGAUUUCGCUUGCCUUCUCGAAAAUGCCUUUGGAAACUUUUUUUUUUUUUUUUGUAAAUGCAGAACAAUAACAGGUGGAUUAUGAGUUAUAUGACUUUUUGAUUGUGAUUCAUUAUACCUCUAAAAAAAAGUGUGUCAGAAAUAAAUUUAUUUAAAUAUA
rnacentral:lncRNA from 1 species